CAGUUUUAGGAAAAUCAUGACCAUGAGGUUGGCAAAAACCUUUAAUCAAAUAUCUGCGUCUUACCUCAUCUCUUUCAUUUUGAUGAUAUUCUAAUAUUAUUUUUCUAUCUGCUGGAUCUGAAGGUAAAUCAUCCAAAUCGUUUUUAGAUGUUGCCGGUGCAAAUUUUUUUAAAUAAUCUUCGCACUAAAAAAAAAAGAAUGUUUUACAUAACUUAUUUUUUAUUUUUGCAUCAGUUUUAAAUGAUAUAAAAGAAUUUUGCAUCAUUUAAUACACUUAAAUAAGUGAUUCUGGUGGUGGUGAUUCCGGGCUCCGGUAGCUUAUGGCUAACGAAGGACUCAUUCCAUCUCUUGAAAAUGAAAAGAAACGAAGAAUUAUUACCAAAAUAAGCUACAAAGGGUACAUUCAAACUCCCAAAUUUUAAUGAUCUCUUUUGUUCGAUCAAUUUUGUUUCUUGAUUAGACAGACAGUGGUGUGUCUCUGUUUAAUGAACAAAUAUUGGUGAAAUGGAUUAAGAUUGUUGCCUGGAAACGCUGUCUUCCUCAACCCAUCAUAAUAGCUUAUGAAUCUUAUGGUCUUGGGGUGAUUUUCUUUUAUAAUCUGUCUUCUUUUAGAACCUAUUUCUCUUUUGUAGCGUACUAUUAUUGUCUCUCUUGUCAUCAUUGACGCUUUGUGCAUUGGACCUUACUUUGGCUCUUUGGCUGUGAGUUCGCCUAUUUUGUUUAAUUAUCUGAGUUUAAUAUUUUUCCCCCAUUAAUGUAAGAUUGUUCUCUCAUUGGCAGAACAGAAGUUUCCGAAGUUUUUUGUUUUAAAAAUGCGAAAGUUUCUCUCGUCGUUUUUAAGUUUGAUGGAUCUUGGUUGGUCUUCCAAAUGCUCAGCUUAGAUAUAAGUUGAAUGAUUAUGGCUCGUGGUUUCAAAAAGAGGUAUCAGAAUUCAUCCUGCACGAAAGUAUCAUUCAAACAAGGAUGUUUUCUUCCUUUUUCGUCUAACCCUCGUCGAUGUUUCAACUUAACAACACCAAUAACAGGAAAACGCUGAAGAGUUGUCUUGUUAAAUCCGGCAAUGUAAGAAACUUUUCAAGUUUGAGAGACGUAGAACGGAAAUUGAAUUUUUUUUGGUGUUCUGUUUCAGUUUGCGUGUAUGUGUCUCAGUUCUGUAGCUUGUAUUUAUCUUUCGUUGGAUUUGAAGAUAUGAAAAAGAAAGGUUACAGUGAAAGAGAUUUUCAGUUCUGAUAUUAAUAAAUAUAAGUGAAUUAAAG
rnacentral:lncRNA from 1 species